rnacentral:rRNA from 1 species
UGGGGAAUCUUGGACAAUGGGCGCAAGCCUGAUCCAGCCAUGUCGCGUGAGUGACGAAGGUCUUCGGAUUGUAAAGCUCUUUUUGGCGGGGACGAUAAUGACGGUACCCGCAGAAUAAGCCCCGGCUAACUUCGUGCCAGCAGCCGCGGUAAUACGAAGGGGGCUAGCGUUGUUCGGAAUUACUGGGCGUAAAGCGCACGUAGGCGGAUCUAUAAGUCAGGGGUGAAAUCCCGGGGCUCAACCUCGGAACUGCCUUUGAUACUGUAGAUCUCGAGUCCGGAAGAGGUGAGUGGAAUUCCUAGUGUAGAGGUGAAAUUCGUAGAUAUUAGGAAGAACACCAGUGGCGAAGGCGGCUCACUGGUCCGGUACUGACGCUGAGGUGCGAAAGCGUGGGGAGCAAACAGGAUUAGAUACCCAAGUAGUCCCUGAGCGGGCUGGCAAGGCGCAU